GCAAGUCGUGCGGAAACGAGAAUAGCUUGCUAUUCGGCGUCGAGCGGCGGACGGGUGAGUAAUGCUUGGGGAACUGCCCAGUCGAGGGGGACAACUAUUGGAAACGAUAGCUAAUACCGCAUACGCUCUACGGGGGAAAGGAGGGGACCCUUCGGAGCCUUUCGCGAUUGGAUGUACCCAAGUGGGAUUAGCUAGUUGGUGAGGUAAUGGCUCACCAAGGCGACGAUCCCUAGCUGGUUUGAGAGGAUGAUC
rnacentral:rRNA from 1 species